rnacentral:rRNA from 1 species
UACGUAGGGCGCAAGCGUUAUCCGGAAUUAUUGGGCGUAAAGAGCUCGUAGGCGGCUUGUCGCGUCGGAUGUGAAAGCCCGGGGCUUAACUCCGGGUCUGCAUUCGAUACGGGCAGGCUAGAGUUCGGUAGGGGAGAUCGGAAUUCCUGGUGUAGCGGUGAAAUGCGCAGAUAUCAGGAGGAACACCGGUGGCGAAGGCGGGUCUCUGGGCCGAUACUGACGCUGAGGAGCGAAAGCGUGGGGAGCGAACAGG